GUCAUUCUGCAUGCAUACCUCCUCUCAGACACUUAUCUCUUGGCUCUCUGAUGCUUGAAGCAUAUAACAGAAGACAGAAUACACCCCUUAGUCUCCAGAAACCUGCCUGGGAACCUGGUCUACCACUCCUUUGCCCUAUCUCAGAUCAAGGGCUAUAUUAUCUCCUCAUAUCAAGUCAAGGUGAUGCUACUGAAGGCUUUGACAGCUAUUUCCAGGAUUAAAUAGUGGCAUUAAACAGUGACACAGCUGUGGAAAUCCGAGGACUUUGUUUAAAACAGCCAGCAUCCCACAAAGACGGCAUCCUAUCUUCUACAAGAACGAUCUCAAUGGCCUGAAGGAUCAAGAGCACAACUCCUGCGGGGAUGAACCCCUCAGCAGCCCAGACUUCGCCCCAGCCCUCCCUCUCAGUACUUCUUCCACUCACUGGCCUCCAGUGCUACAACUAGACUCAUGGCUCCAGGAUCUUGCAAUCCACCUCAGGCUUAUUCUGUUCUGAUUGUGGGUCUGUUGUCAUUUCUGCAGGAAGCCCGGCCUGGAGACCCAGAGCCUCUGUGUUUCAUUAAUCUCCAUGUGCCCAGGAUCUGUUUCAGCACCCUUGAUUCACACCAAAUCCUCGUUCUAGUUCAGUCUAAUUUCUAGAGUGAGACCCCAACACGGAGUAACUCUGAUUUUUGUAGACACACAGAUGCCAGAGGACCACCCCUCCUCCAGCAGCUUCCUCCAGAGUCCAUAGAUAUCUACGAGGACCAAGAGGCUCACAAUCAUUACACACGUAAUUAUUCUCAGGCUGCAUGUAGCCUGAAAAGUUCUCUUCUACUUUCCAUAUGUUCUUUUCUCUUGAUCCAUCCCCCUCUCCUUAUUUUUUGCUACAAAAGUCCCUUGACAGUGUCCCACAUUACAAAUACACACUUGCCCCAGGCUCUGACUGAA
rnacentral:lncRNA from 1 species